UUUAAUUCGAAGCAACGCGCAGAACCUUACCAUCCUUUGACAUGGCGUGUUAUGGGGAGAGAUUCCCAGUCCUCUUCGGAGGCGCGCACACAGGUGCUGCAUGGCUGUCGUCAGCUCGUGUCGUGAGAUGUUGGGUUAAGUCCCGCAACGAGCGCAACCCACGUCCUUAGUUGCCAUCAUUCAGUUGGGCACUCUAGGGAGACUGCCGGUGAUAAGCCGCGAGGAAGGUGUGGAUGACGUCAAGUCCUCAUGGCCCUUACGGGAUGGGCUACACACGUGCUACAAUGGCGGUGACAGUGGGACGCGAAGGGGCGACCUGGAGCAAAUCCCCAAAAGCCGUCUCAGUUCGGAUUGCACUCUGCAACUCGGGUGCAUGAAGGCGGAAUCGCUAGUAAUCGUGGAUCAGCAUGCCA
rnacentral:rRNA from 1 species